rnacentral:pre_miRNA from 15 species
GAUCUUGGGCGAUCACUGCCUCUCUGGGCCUGUGUCUUAGGCUCUGCAAGAUCAACCGAGCAAAGCACACGGCCUGCAGAGAGCCAGCGCUGCGCUC